rnacentral:rRNA from 1 species
GAGGGAAACUUCCGCUUAAGAGGACAAUAAAUAUCUCGGAUAGGUAGUAGUUAAGGUAAUGGCUUAACCAGCUUAAAAUUCCGUAGUCGAGACUGAGAGGUCGAUCGAUCACAUUGGGUCUGAAAAAACCCCAAUACGUAUAGUACAGCAGUGAGGAAUAUUGGUCAAUGGCCUAACGGCUGAACCAGCAACUUGGGAGAAUGAAUAGCUUCGGCUAGUUAGACCACUUGGUGUGGCCUGAUAUCGACUAUGUCGAAUAAAAUUCUAGAUAGAAUACUGAUAAUGACAAUUUUCUAUCUACUUGUCUUGACCAAAUUACGUGCCAGCAGUCGCGGCAAUACGUAGAAGACUAGUGUUAUUCAUCUUUAGUAGGUUUAAAGGGUACCUAGACGGUAUGACUAGCCCAAAACAGGGUACGGUCUUACUAGAGUUUUAUAUGAGGAGGGGAGUAUUUAUGGAGUAGAGUUGAAAUUCUGUGAUCCCAUAACGACUGGUAGCGGCGAAAGCAACCUUUUAUCUAAAAACUGACGUUGAGGGACGAAGGCUUGGGUAGCGAACAGGAUUAGAUACCCUAGUAGUCUAAGCAGAGAAUUAUGAAUGUCAUAGGCUAGAUAUUUUUAGCCUAUAAAUGAAAGUGUAAGCAUUCCACCUCAAGAGUAAUGUGGCAACGCAGGAACUGAAAUCAUUAGACCGUUUCUGAAACCAGUAGUGAAGUAUGUUAUUUAAUUUGAUAGCACGCAAAAAACCUUACCACAAUUCGUAUUUUAUAUUUUAAACUAUAUUAGUCGUAAAAUUCUUCUAUAGUUAGAGUAUAUUACAAGCGUUGCACGGCUGUCUUCAGUUAAUGUCGUGAGAUUUUGGUUAGUUCCAUAAAAUUAACGUAAACCCUUGCUCUAUUUUUUAACAUCCUAUCAGGGUUUUCCCUUUUUAGGACACUAAGAUUUUUAUAGGGUAGUUCACCAUCAUAUUGGAUAUAUGAUAAAA